ACAGGACGGAAAGACCCCGUGGAGCUUUACUGCAACCUGAUAUGGAAUGUUUGUACCGCUUGUACAGGAUAGGUAGGAGCCGAAGAGACGUGUGCGCUAGCAUACGAGGAGGCAAUGGUGGGAUACUACCCUGGCUGUAUGACCAUUCUAACCCGCCACGCUUAGCGCGUGGGGAGACAGUGUCAGGUGGGCAGUUUGACUGGGGCGGUCGCCUCCUAAAGAGUAACGGAGGCGCCCAAAGGUUCCCUCAGAAUGGAUGGAAAUCAUUCGCAGAGUGUAAAGGCACAAGGGAGCUUGACUGCGAGACUGACAAGUCGAGCAGGGACGAAAGUCGGGCUUAGUGAUCCGGUGGUUCCGCAUGGAAGGGCCAUCGCUCAACGGAUAAAAGCUACCCCGGGGAUAACAGGCUUAUCUCCCCCAAGAGUCCACAUCGACGGGGAGGUUUGGCACCUCGAUGUCGGCUCGUCGCAUCCUGGGGCU
rnacentral:rRNA from 1 species